rnacentral:rRNA from 1 species
GACGGAGGAUGCAAGCGUUAUCCGGAAUUAUUGGGCGUAAAGCGUCCGCAGGUGGACAUACAAGUCUGCUGUCAAAGUGCAGAGCUUAACUCUGUAAAGGCGGUGGAAACUGUAGGUCUUGAGUAUGGUAGGGGUAGAGGGAAUUCCCGGUGUAGCGGUGAAAUGCGUAGAUAUCGGGAAGAACACCAGUGGCGAAAGCGCUCUACUGGGCCAUAACUGACGCUGAGGAGCGAAAGCAUGGGGAGCGAACAGG